UGGGGAAUAUUGCACAAUGGGGGGAAACCCUGAUGCAGCGACGCCGCGUGAGUGAAGAAGUAUUUCGGUAUGUAAAGCUCUAUCAGCAGGGAAGAAGAAAGACGGUACCUGACUAAGAAGCCCCGGCUAACUACGUGCC
rnacentral:rRNA from 1 species